UACGUAGGGCGCAAGCGUUAUCCGGAAUUAUUGGGCGUAAAGAGCUUGUAGGCGGUUUGUCGCGUCUGCCGUGAAAAUCCGGGGCUCAACCCCGGACUUGCGGUGGGUACGGGCAGACUAGAGUGUGGUAGGGGAGACUGGAAUUCCUGGUGUAGCGGUGAAAUGCGCAGAUAUCAGGAGGAACACCGAUGGCGAAGGCAGGUCUCUGGGCCACUACUGACGCUGAGAAGCGAAAGCAUGGGGAGCGAACAGG
rnacentral:rRNA from 1 species